AGUGAACGCUGGCGGUAGGCCUAACACAUGCAAGUCGAACGGCAGCACAGUAAGAGCUUGCUCUUACGGGUGGCGAGUGGCGGACGGGUGAGGAAUACAUCGGAAUCUACUUUUUCGUGGGGGAUAACGUAGGGAAACUUACGCUAAUACCGCAUACGACCUACGGGUGAAAGCAUGGGAUCUUCGGACCUUUCGCGAUUGAAUGAGCCGAUGUCGGAUUAGCUAGUUGGCGGGGUAAAGGCCCACCAAGGCGACGAUCCGUAGCUGGUCUGAGAGGAUGAUCAGCCACACGGGAACGGAGACACGGUCCAGAGUCCUACGGGAGGCAGCAGUGGGGAAUAUUGGACAAUGGGCGCAAGCCUGAUCCAGCCAUACCGCGUGGGUGAAGAAGGCCUUCGGGUUGUAAAGCCCUUUUGUUGGGAAAGAAAAGCAGCAGGUUAAUACCCCGCUGUUCUGACGGUACCCAAAGAAGAAGCACCGGCUAACUUCGUG
rnacentral:rRNA from 1 species